rnacentral:rRNA from 1 species
GACGAACCGUCCAAACGUUAUUCGGAAUCACUGGGCUUAAAGGGUGCGUAGGCGGUGCGGAAAGUUGGGUGUGAAAGCCCUCGGCUCAACCGAGGAAUUGCGCCCAAAACUACCGUGCUGGAGGAAGAUAGAGGUGAGCGGAACUUAGGGUGGAGCGGUGAAAUGCGUUGAUAUCCUAAGGAACACCAGUAGCGAAAGCGGCUCACUAGGUCUUUUCUGACGCUGAGGCACGAAAGCUAGGGGAGCGAAGAGG